rnacentral:lncRNA from 1 species
UUAAAUGCUGCUUCACACUUUGACGUACUAACAAGGAAAAUAAGAAGGAAGAUAAUAUGUACAUGAGUAUGAGUUUCUUUCGCCAUAAUGUAAGCGCCUUUAGUUAAAACUACGGUAUGUGAUCUCUCUCUCUCUCUGGAAUUGAUUUUUGUCAAGUCAAUUCGACGUCAUUUUCAAAAACUAUUUGUAGAAUCAUAGUUAAUUUGAUUUUAUGAGAUUUAUUCAAUAGGAAUAAAAUACACUUGGUUUCAAUUCAAUUCAAUUCAAGAUUUAAAUGAUCAGUCCAUAGAUUUUCUUUUGCCUACCAAUCAUAGUCUAACUGACCAAAAUUUGUGUUCCAGGACCUACAUAUUUCAUUAGUUUCAUCAUACGGAUAAGGAUAUCCCCGCUAUUUUUGUUGUUAUUGGACUUUAAAAAUGAUGUACUAGCUUAUGUAAAAAAAAAACAGUCAGGUUUGAUAUAAACACAUGUAUUUCAUACGGUCACAGAAUGUGACUUUUGUAUUAUGAAUCUAUGAUAAUAACGCCUGGUAUCUAGCUGAAACUUGCCAUGAAAAGAAAAACAGUUCACAUGAAAAGCAUCGAAUAGCGACAACGAGACUGAGAUACUUAACGGAGCUACAAAACACGCAAUUUUUUUUAUUAAAAAUUGAAAACAUAUAUAUAGAAAGUAGAAACUCACAAGAAAGUUUAGUGUGUGUUUGGAUCUUUAACCAAACGUAACCUCUGUCUUUUAAUUUUUGGGGUUGUCCC